rnacentral:rRNA from 1 species
UUUGGAGGGCAAGUCUGUUGCCAGCAGCGCCGGUAAUCCCAGCUCCAAUGGCGAAUAUUAAGGUGUUGGCAGUUAAAAGGUUGGUAGUGGAAUUUGGAGAUCGUAUGGUGGUUGUUGCAUCGGUACGUACUGGCAUUACUGAUUUCUCCUUUCUGUAGAACCGUGAUGUCAUUAAGUUGGUGUCGUGGGGAAUCAGGACUGUUACUUUGAAAAAAUUAGAGUGUUUAAAGCAGGCUCACGCUUGAAUACAUUAGCAUGGAAUAAUGAAAUAGGACGUUUGAUUCCUAUUUUGUUGGUUUCUAGGAUUGACGUAAUGAUUAAUAGGGAUAGUUGGGGGCAUUAGUAUUCAAUUGUCAGAGGUGAAAUUCUUGGAUUUAUUGAAGACUAACUACUGCGAAAGCAUUUGCCAAGGAUGUUUUCAUUAAUCAAGAACGAAAGUUAGGGGAUCGAAGACGAUCAGAUACCGUCGUAGUCUUAACCAUAAACUAUGCCGACUAGGGAUCGGAUGAUGUCUAAUUUUUUAAUGACUCAUUCGGCGCCUUACGGGAAAC